rnacentral:rRNA from 1 species
UAGGGAAUCUUCCGCAAUGGACGCAAGUCUGACGGAGCAACGCCGCGUGAGUGAAGAAGGAUUUCGGUUCGUAAAACUCUGUUGUUAGAGAAGAACAGCGCAUAGAGUAACUGUUAUGCGUGUGACGGUAUCUAACCAGAAAGCCACGGCUAACUACGUGCCAGCAGCCGCGGUAAUACGUAGGUGGCAAGCGUUGUCCGGAUUUAUUGGGCGUAAAGCGAGCGCAGGCGGUCAAUUAAGUCUGAUGUGAAAGCCCCCGGCUCAACCGGGGAGGGUCAUUGGAAACUGGUUGACUUGAGUGCAGAAGAGGAGAGUGGAAUUCCAUGUGUAGUGGUGAAAUGCGUAGAUAUAUGGAGGAACACCAGUGGCGAAGGCGACUCUCUGGUCUGUAACUGACGCUGAGGCUCGAAAGCGUGGGUAGCAAACAGG